rnacentral:rRNA from 1 species
AUUGAACGCUGGCGGCAGGCCUAACACAUGCAAGUAGAACGAGUGGCGGACGGGUGAGUAAUGUCUGGGCAACUGCCUGAUGGAGGGGGAUAACUACUGGAAACAGUAGCUAAUACCGCAUCCCAUCGGAUCUGCCCAGAUGGGAUUAGCAAGUAGGUGGGGUAAAGGCUCACCUAGGAGACGAGCCCUAGAUGGUCUGAGAGGAUGACCAGCCACACUGGAACUGAGAAACGGUCCAGACUCCUACGGGAGGCAGCAGGGGGGAAUAUUGCACAAUGGGCGCAAGCCUGAUGCAGCCAUGCCGCGUGUAUGAAGAAGGCCUUCGGGUUGUAAAGUACUUUCAGCGGGGAGGCGUUACCCGCAGAAGAAGCACCGGCUAACUCCGUGCCAGCCGCCGCGGUAAUUC